UUUGGAGAUUAAUCCUUUUCACUGCAUAUGCAAAAGUUUUCUCCCAUUCCAUAGGUUGUCUUUUUGUUUUGUUUAUGGUUUCCUUUGCUGUGUAAAAGCCUUUAAGUUUGGUUAGGGCCUUUUUGAAUUUUUUAAAUUUAUUUAUUUAUUAUUUUUUAAAAUAGUUAUUUCCCAAAUACAAUUUUUUCUACUGUACAGCAUGAUGACCCAGUUAUACAUACAUGUACACAUUCUAUUUUUGCACAUUAUCAUGCUCCAUCAUAAGUGACUAGACAUAGUUACCAGUGCUACACAGCAGGAUCUCAUUGAUAAUUCAUUCCAAAGGCAAUAGUUUUUAUCUAUUAACCCUAAGCUCCCCAACCACUCCACUUCCUCCCCUUCCCCCUUGGCAACCACAAGUCUAUUCUGUAAGUCCAUGAUUUUCUUUUCUGUGGAAAGGUUUAAUUGUGCCUUGUAUUAGGUUCCAGAUAUCUUGUUUGUUUUUGUUUUUAUUUUCAUUACUCUAGGAGGUAAAUCCAAAAUGAUAUUGCUAGGGUUUAUGUCAAAGAGUGGCCUGCCUAUGUUUUCCUCUAGGAGUUUUAAUAGUAUCUGGUCUUACAUUUAGGCCUUUAAUUCCUUUUGAGUUUAUUUUUGUAUAUGGUCUUAGACAAUGUUCUAAUUUCUUUCUUUUACAUGUAGCUGUCCAGUUUUCCUAGCAUUGCUUAUUGAAGAGACUGUCUUUUUCCAUUGCAUAUCCUUGCCUUUGUUGUCAUAGAUAAGUUGAUCAUAGGUGUGUGGUUUAUUUCUGGACUCUAUUCUGUUCCAUUAGUCUGUGUCUGUUUUUGUGCCAGUACCAUACAGUUUUGGUAGUACAGUCUGAAAUCAAUGAGCAUGAUUCCUUCCGUUCCAUUCUUCUUUCUCAAGAUUGGUUAUUCUGAGUUUUUGUAGUUUUCAUACAAAUUAAAACAUUUUUGAUCUAGGUAUGUGAAAAGUGCCAUUGGUAAUUUGAUAGGGCUUGGACUGAAUUUGUAGAUUGGCUGGGUACUAUGGUCAUUUUAACAACAUAUAUUUUUCCAAUCGAAGAAUACAAUGUAUCUUUCCAACUGUUUGUGUCAUCUUCAGUUUCUUUCAUCUACGUUUUCUGGUUUUCAGAGUAUGGGUCUUUUGCUCCUUAGGUUUAUUCCUAGGUAUAUUACACUUUUUGAUAUGAUGGUAAAAGGGAAAACUACUAGAGCUCCUCAAUAAAUUUUGGUAAGGUUGCAGGAUAAAACAUUAUAUACAGAAGUGUUAUGUUUCUAUACACUAAAAAUGAGUAUCAGAAAGAUAAAUUAGGAAACAAUCCCAUUAUAUUCUUUCCUGGUAAUCUACUUGAGGUUUACUUACCAGCAUGGUCCUUGGUUACAGUCACCCCUCCCCUGGUGACUGGGCUUAAGUAAGCAGUUUGGUGUAUAUAUAUAUUUUACAUCUGCCAUUAGCUAUCAGGCGUUAGCCACUGAUAGUGCUUUUUUGUCUCUAUCUUUUUCUCUUCUUGGUUACUUCUGAAGGGCUUCUUCUGCUAUUCCAGGGUAUGUAGCUGUUGAGCAUGACUGAAUGACAGAUAAAUUUGUACCACAAUCUCUGUAAAUCUAGGUUGGGCCUUAUUAAUGGAAGCACUAUUGACAAUUUGGGCUAAUUCUAUUGGGGCAGUCCUAUGUAUCAUAGCAUGUUUACAACUUCCCUGACUUAUCCCAGUAUAUGUCCCUCACUAUGGUUGUGACAACCAAAAAUGUCUCCAGACAUUGCUAAAUAACCCCUAAUUGAAAAACCACUUAUGAAGGUUAUAACUGUGCAUUACCAAGCUAAGAACAAUGAUAUUCCUUAAAAGAAAGAUUCUCAUGCUUAUCAAUGUAAGAAGUAAUAUGUAUGACAAAGAACACGGAGGGACAAUUUAACAUGUUAAAAGCAUACCGAAUUACCUUGAAAAAGAUGUCUGUUUAAAUUGUCAAUAUAUGAGAAUAAGGACCAUGAAAGGAGUACUUUUUUUUGAAGGUCUUUGUGCUUACACUAUUAUUUUCUAUAGCAAGACAUCUGACAGACCAAGAGAUUUUACGAUCUCAUCAUUACAAAUUUAAAAAGGAGUUCUAUAGAAUUAUUGCUCACAACUUCCACUGUUAAUAAGUCUUGCCUACCAUUGAAAGCUUGCUGUACCUUUAAAAUUAUCUCAGUGGCUAACCACACAUGUCUUAGAAGAUGCUUUAAAGAAUUUAAAAUUCCUAUGAUUAAUUUUCAGUCCUUGGCUGAGACUAAGUUAUAAUUACCUUCAGAUAUAUCAAUUCUCAACUCUUUUCUGGAAAACUCCUAAGUAUUACAAGAAUUUAGUUUGUAUAUUUCAGUAUUUUAGUCAAUUUUGUUUUCUGUUAUGGACUAUCUUCUUUCCACAUCUCUGAGAAGUGAAAACCAAAAUAUAACAUAAUUCUCUAAAAGGAACAGAGCCUAUCUAAGGGAGAUGAAGAAAAUAAUAACUGAAAUGAAAAAUUCCCUGGAAGGAGUCAACAGCAGAAUAAAUGAUAAAGAGGAGUGGAUCACACUGAAGAGAAAAAAGAAUAAAAAGAAACGAGGACACUUUAAGAGACCUCUGGGACAACAUCAAGCACGCUAACAUUCAUUUUAUGGGGGGGGGUCUCAGAAGGAGAAGAUAGGGGCUGAUAACAUGUUUGAAGAUAUAAUAGGUAAAAACCUCCCUAAUUUGGAGAAGGAAAAGACAUCCAAGUCCAGGAAGCUUAGAGUACCAUAUAGGAUCAACCUAAAGAGGAAUACACUAAGACACACUAAUCAAAAUGGCCAAAAUUGAAGAGGGGAUACUGAAAGCAGCAAAGGAAAAGCAACAAAUAACAUACCAGGGAAUUCCCCAAAGGCUAUCAGCUGAAUUUUCAGCAAAACUGCUGGCCAGGAGGGGGUGGCCGGAUAUAUUUAAAGUGAUGAAAGGGAAAAACCUACAACUAAGAAUAGUCUACCCAGCAAGGUUAUUGUUCAGAUUUGAUGUUAAGACCAAACACUUUGGAGACAGGCACAAGCUAAAAGACCUCAGCAUCAUCAAAACAGCUUUAUAAGAAAUGUGAAAGGAAAGUGAAAAAGGAAAGGCCACAGUGAGAAACAUGAAAAUUAUGAAAAAGUUCAUCAUUUUAAAGGCAAACAAAUAACAAAGGUAGGAAAUCAUACACACACAAAGCUAGUAAGGUUAAAAGAAAAAAGUAGUGAAAUCAUCAAUCUCCACAAUAAGUAGUUAAGGAACAGACAAAACAAUCAGAUGUAAAAUUUAAUAUCAAAACCAGUAAUCAUGAUGGGAGGGGAGUAUAAAUGAAGGGUUGUUAAAAUGCAUUUGAAAGUAAGAGAUCAGCAACUUAAAACAGUCAUGUAUAUAUUGAGAUUGCUAUAUGGAAACCUCUGGUAACCAAAAACCAAAUAUCUAUAAUAGAUACAUACACACAAAAAAGGAGUCUAAACAUAACACUAGAGACAGUUAUCAAAUCACAAGAGAACAGAAGAAAAAGGAACAAAAAUACCUACAAAAACAACCCCACAACAAUUAAUAAAAUGGCAAUAAAAACAUACAUAUCAAUAAUUCACAUAAAUGUAAAUGGACUAAAUGCUUCAAUCAGAAGACACAAGGUAACUGAAUGGAUACAAAAAUAAGACCCAUAUAUGUGCUGCUCCUAAGAGUCUAACUUCAGAUUUAAAGACAUACAGACUGAAAGUGAAGGAAUAGAAAGAGGUAUUCCACAUAAUUGUAAAUCAAAAGAAAGCUGGAAUAGCAAUACUUAUAUCAGAAAAUAUACUUUAAAGACCAUUACAAGAGAUAAGAACAUUACAUAAUGCUCAAGGGAUCAACCCAAGAAGAAAAAUUAUAAAUAUAUGCACCCAACACAGAAGCACCUAAAUACACGAAGGAAAUAUUAACAGACAUAAAGGGAGAAGUUGAGAAUAACAUAAUAGUAGGGGACUUUAACAUCCUACUUACAUCAAUGGACAGAUUAGUGCAACAGAAAAUCAAUAGGGAAACAAGGGCCUUAAAUGACAUAUAUGAUCAGAUGAACUUAAAU
ensembl:lncRNA